GGGAGGAAAUGACUGGACUGAAAUGUAAAAUAAAAGACUGGGCUUAUGAUCUGCAAGAAAUGAGCUAUCCAGAAAACUUUUUAGACUAGCAAGAGAGAACUGCUUGGAGAACUGUCUCUAGCAGGAAAUAGAGAAAGAACUGGCUGGAGAUCUCCAGGAAGAGCCAAACGGAAAGAAAGCAAUCCGGAAAGCUGUCUCGAGCAGAAUGGUUUCAUUCUGUAGCACAGGUUACCUUCAAUGGCAAUCCUUCUGGCUCAGUCUCCCAAACACUGGAAUACCUGGUGACGUGGAGACUCACGCACUCAGCAGUCCAGACUGGCCUGGAACCCACUAUGUCUCUCAGUCUGCCUUUGAACCCAGAGAACUUUUCCUUCUUAACUUCCUAGGAUUACAGACUCAUAAGUAUGCGUCCUGAAGCCACACCCUUGACCUUGCUGGAUUGUUGAGCUCUGUUCUUCUAUCAAAGGUGUACAGAGUAAUUUUGCUCCCCUGCUCAAACUUGCUCUCAAGUUCCCCUUGUGGGGUUGUCAAACUAAUCAAGCUUCCAAGACUCCAAGCAUAGCCACAGGGGAUACUGCACCAGUUCACAGCAUUAGGCUCUACUUCCUCUCCCCUCCCCUCCCCUCCCCUCCUCUCCUUUCGGUCUCCUUCCUUUCCCCCACUUCCUCUCC